GAACAUGGCUGAGGCUGUAGUUUGCUUUGUGUCGGAUGGGCUCGAAGAAUUCGUCAAUCGGAAUGGGGAAUACUUGUCUGAAAUUAGAGAUCAAGUUCAGCUUGCACUAACCGAGUUACAAUUGAUGCGGAACUUUGCGAAAUUUGUGGAUAGAAGACAACGAGAUGAUGUGGUAGCCGGAAUUAGAGACGCGGCUUACGACUUGGAAGUUAUCGUUGAAACUUAUGCGUUGAAAGUGGCUUUGAGAAGGAAAGGAGUUAUUCAGAGUGCGAUGAAAAGGUAUGCUUGCAUGUUUAUUGACCGAAGUCGCGUGCGCAAGAUUGAGUCGAAAAUUUGUUACAUUACCAACGCAAUUUCUAGGUCGAGGUGGUGGUUGAGUGUUCGAACUAAUAGAAUUGAAGUAACUAAUAGAAUUGAAGUGCCGAUUCCAAAUUAUUUACCUCCACCUGAUACUGAACAUCAUCCUCAUCCUAUUGUUGGGUUAGAAGCCAAAGUAGAAGAAUUGGUUAUGCAUUUGGUAGAAAAUGAAAAUCGAGUUAUUUCUAUAUUGGGCAUGGGGGGUAUAGGAAAGACUACUCUUGCAAAAGAGGUUUAUCAUCAUAACGCAGUCAGGCGUCAUUUUGAUUGUUUGGCGUGGGUGUGUAUAUCUGAACAAUUUGAAGCAAGACGUGUUUUGGAAGAAAUUUUGGUUCAAUUUAUUUCUCCUACUACCGAUGAGCAAAGAGAAGAAAUUGCAAGCAUGUGGGAUGAUGAAAUAGCCAGAAAACUUUUUCUUCUCCAAAGAGAGAAGAGAUGUUUGGUGGUUAUAGAUGACAUUAGGAAGAUUAAUGGCUGGCUGAAAUUAAAAGUUGCAUUUCCUCCAUACGAGGCAACAGGGAGCAAAAUAUUACUUACCACAAGGAACCAUGCAGUAGCUUCAUGUUCAGAUAGGAACCGACUCAUCUGGUACUGCGAGCCACUAAAUGAGAAUGAAAGUUGGGAAUUGUUUGAGAAUAUAGCAUUUUUUGGAAGGAAUGAUAGAGGCUCUGACAUUUUUGGAAAGAUGAAAGAACUAGGAAAAAAGAUGAUUAAACAUUGUGAAGGUCUUCCAUUAGCCAUCGUUGCGCUUGCUGGACUUCUAGCAAGAAAGAAGACACUUAAUGAGUGGAAUACAGUAUUUAAAAAUAUUGAAAACAUUUGUAGAAACGACAAUAUUGAAAAAUAUGCACAUGUACAUUGGAUGUUGGCAAUGAGUUAUGAUGACUUACCGUAUUACUUAAAACCAUGCUUUCUAUAUUUAGGCCAAUUUCCUGAAGAUCUUGAGAUUCCAGCCAAAGAAUUGACUCAAUUGUGGAUAGCAGAAGGUUUUAUAUCUUUGGCGCAACAAAAACAAAGGUUGCUGGCAACGGUGGAGGAUGUAGCAUACAAUUGUCUAAGCGAGUUGGUGGAAAGGCGUAUAGUUCAAGUUGGAAAGAGGGGUUCAGUUAGAAAGAUUAAAACUUGCCGUAUGCAUGAUCGCAUGCGAGACUUGUGCUUGUUGAAGGCAGAAGAGGAGAACUUUCUACAAAUUGUUAACUUUUCGAAUAUUGCACACAAACCAACUGGUAAAGUUCGAAGACUUGCCCUUUAUUUCGAUGAGAAUGAUGUGGUUUCAUCAAGAUCUGAAUCACAUGACCAUGUUAGGUCUCUAUUGUUCUUUGGCCCGAAAAAUUGGAUACCAAAAAGUACAACAUAUAUACUAUCCACAUUCAAGGAUUUGAAAUUUCUUAGAGUUUUGAAGGUUGAAUAUAUGGUCAGGGAAGUAAGGUUGCCAACUGAAAUUGGGAAUAUGCUUUGCUUAAGGUUCUUAAGUCUAAGGAAGAGUAAUAUAAUAUGGUUGCCCCCAUCUUUAGGUAAUUUGAUAUGUUUGCAAACUCUGAAUUUGGACUUCUGUCACUCGAAUGAUCGGACUCCAAUAAUUCCGAAUGUGAUAUGGAAAAUGGAACAGUUGAGACAUCUAUACUUACUGUAUUACAGGUCAAGUAGCAUACUCCGACUGUCUAACCUUUUCAAUUUGCAAACCUUAUCUUGUGUUUCAAGUGACUUUUGUGAUAUGAGUGAUCUUACGAAAUUAACCACUCUCAGAAAACUGGGUAUACAAUUGUCAAGACCCAUGCAAAAUCUGGAGGAAUUAUUGAGAUCUGCAAGCAGCACGCUAAACCGAAUUCAGUCUCUAUUUGUGAAGAAUGAUGUUGGAGUUAAUAGUCACGCGGAGGUUAUGCAAAUAGUAUUAAGUUGUUGUCGUAUAUACAAGUUGAAGCUGUAUGGGCCUAUCAAAGAGCUGCCAACAGACCCCCAGCACUAUCCAAACCUCACCAAGUUAUCGUUGUGUGAGUGUCAUCUCAAGGAUGACCAAAUGGAAAUACUAGAGAAGCUGCCAAACUUAAGAAUUCUUUUACUUCAGUCUCUGAGUUUCCAGGAAAGCACCAAGACACUGGUAUGCUCCAGAGGAGGCUUUCUUCGUCUUGAAACUCUUUCCCUGGAAAAAUUGACAACACUAGAGGAAUGGAGGAUUGAGGAAGGAGCCAUGCCUAGUCUCCUUCAGUUGGGUAUUCUUUUUUGCAAUAGAUUGAAGACAGUUCCACAUGGGCUGGUAUAUAUCACAAGCCUCAAGGACUUAACCAUCCGCUGGAUGCCUACAACAUUCUACAGUAGGCUUCAGGAAGGAGGCGAGGAUUUCUAUAUAGUGCAGCAUGUACCUUCCCUUGUACUUGGGGAUCCGUGGGAAUCUGAGGAAGCGCCUGGGGAUGUGCAUGAGGAAUAGGUCCAGAAGAUGGAACAUGUGAAGCUAUGGCUGCUUUGAGGCGUUGUGCGAGUGACGAAACUGCGAAGUAUAUAACGUUUUGUCUCUUGCUCUGCAAUCUGCUUGUAGUCUUUAAAUCUCUGAAUGUUCUAUGAUAUGCAAGGGAAAUGACAUCACCAGCUGCAGUGGUACCCAAAAUGGACAAAGGGUUAAACGAAGAUGCAACUAUAUUUCUAUUUCCCUAAUGUUAUCUGUGCAAUUUGUGCUUGUUGACUCAAAUAGCAACUACAUCAGUUCACACUUUUUUGCUUGCUUGUCUGAAAGCUGGGGAAAAUGGAUUGCAAUGGCCCUCUGCUAUGUGUAUCUGGACAACUGAGAACGAUUAGCUCAAGUGGGAAGUGAACUAUGACUAUCAGUAUCAGAUAAUAACUUGAACGUCCACGUCUUGAUAGCUCAUGGACUUUUAACUUUAUUAUCACACUUAGGCAAUUGGUAGUAUCAUAUUUAGUCUAAAUAUCUUAAAUCUGAAAUUCCUUGAUAAACUUAAAUUGGUAAUCAG